GGGUUGUGGCUCAGUGGUAGAACACUUGCCUAGCAUGUGUGAAGCACUGGGUUCAAUUCUCAGACCCA
rnacentral:tRNA from 1 species